CCUAUAAUAUGUGCUUUUAUUGAAGUGCUUUGACCUUCUCACAUGAUAGGCAAUGUCAUCAUUCUCACAUUCUGCAUUAAGUAAUGAUCUCUGGAUGGACAACAGGGCAAAGUAUAAAAGUACACCAAACAGUCAGAAGCACAGGGAAUUGCAAGUACCUACCACAAACUACUGCUUGCACUGGUUGGAAAAAACAAACCAGAACCACACCAGAGCAAGUCCUCCAGCUAUUCAGUACUGUUCCGUUCUAUGGUUUAGCGGAGCUACCUUUUUCUAGGUGUGCAUGCCAACUUUGGCUCUUUCCACAGUUCAGGCUAACCUCUCUCCAGACUGCUGCAUCAAUGUCAUUCACUAGCACAUUCAGACUGCACAUUUUGCUGCCUUUGUCAUGAACCUAUGGAAGCCGAGGUUACACAUACAAGUGAGCUCCUUCCUUCCUUCCAUCUUCACUGUUUUUUCUUUGCUUCAAAAACUAAGCAUCACUCCUGAGGAUUUUUAUCUAUAGAAGUGAGAUGGAGAAAAUGUUGAUUAUUUCAACUUGGAUUUUCCAGGAGUGGUUCAUUUGGGAUUCCUGCUGAGGACCAGUGUAUGGAUUAGCAGGGGUUUUUUUAGAACAUUCUCUGAAUCUGAAAUUGCUGUUCUAUGGAAGACAAUAUGUGAUGAAUGACAACUGCUGGUAGUCAGACAACAGGAGAUCUAAUUUUACACAUCCUUAAGGAUGGUUAGCGACAGAAUGUAGUUGGAGAAGGAUGCAAGUAUCUGGUACUAGCUCUGGGCUCUAUUACUUCUUUCUCAUACUUCUGAAGGGAGAAGCCCACAGAUUUUCCAAAGUUGGGAAUGGGGUAAAUGCCAUUACCUUCCUCCACACUCUUCCACUUUGGCCUCGUGAACUGGAGAGGCACAAGAUGGCGAAAGACAUACUGAAGAAACAUACUAUGUAUCUGCUUCAGUGCAAGCAACAGAAAGACUAAAUCAGCUAUUUUGUUCAUGUUCAGACCUUGGACUGGUGGACAGCACGAUCCCUCACUUUGCCAGGCAUUUACGUAUUUAACAGAAUUGUAUUAAUUUGCAUAUGUGCAAAUAGAAAAUGCGUUUGUACCUGCAGAAAAAUUCCACUCCCUGGUACAAUGAAACAGUUACAUCGAUAUAGUCACAAAAGCAAAAUGUUGCUCGUUAUCUUUUUGCCACAUUCUAAGAACAGUGACUUUAGUACUCAUUUAAAUGCACUUACUUCUGGCAUUACACAAAUUCUCAAUAAAAGGUUGUGGACUAGAAGUAGUCCUCCACUUACACUGGCAGAGAAGCAAAACAUCACAACAAGGAAUGCAUUCCUGGAGUCAUGUGGAACAUACUUCGCCUUGCUCAACAUACACAGAUGCAGGUCCCA
rnacentral:lncRNA from 1 species